GACGUAGGGGGCGAGCGUUAAUCGGAAUUACUGGGCGUAAAGCGUGCGCAGGCGGUUUUGUAAGCCGGAUGUGAAAUCCCCGGGCUUAACCUGGGAAUGGCAUUCGGGACUGCAAGGCUGGAGUGCGGCAGAGGAGACUGGAAUUCCUGGUGUAGCAGUGAAAUGCGUAGAUAUCAGGAGGAACACCGAUGGCGAAGGCAGGUCUCUGGGCUGACACUGACGCUCAUGCACGAAAGCGUGGGGAGCAAACAGG
rnacentral:rRNA from 1 species